rnacentral:rRNA from 1 species
GAUGAACGCUGGCGGCGUGCCUAAUACAUGCAAGUCGAGCGAGCAGACUAGGAGCUUGCUCCUCUGACGUUAGCGGCGGACGGGUGAGUAACACGUGGAUAACCUACCUAUAAGACUGGGAUAACUUCGGGAAACCGGAGCUAAUACCGGAUAAUAUAUUGAACCGCAUGGUUCAAUAGUGAAAGACGGUUUUGCUGUCACUUAUAGAUGGAUCCGCGCCGCAUUAGCUAGUUGGUAAGGUAACGGCUUACCAAGGCAACGAUGCGUAGCCGACCUGAGAGGGUGAUCGGCCACACUGGAACUGAGCCACGGUCCAGCCUCCUACGGAAGGCACCAGUAGGGAAUCUUCCGCAAUGGGCGAAAGCCUGACGGAGCAACGCCGCGGGAGUGAUGAAGGUCUUCGGAUCGUAAAACUCUGUUAUUAGGGAAGAACACAUGUGUAAGUAACUAUGCACGUCUUGACGGUACCUAAUCAGAAGGCCACGGCUAACUACGUG